CACCGGCGGCCCGAGUGGUAACCGCUUUUAUUGGGUCUAAAGGGUCUGUAGCCGGCCAGGUAAGUCCCUUGGGAAAUCUGGCAGCUCAACUGUCAGGCUGCUAGGGGAUACUGUUUGGCUUGGGACCGGGAGAGGUGAGAGGUACCUUGGGGGUAGGGGUGAAAUCUUGUGAUCCUCGGGGGACCACCAGUGGCGAAGGCGUCUCACCAGAACGGGUCCGACGGUAAGGACGAAAGCUAGGGGCACGAACCGGAUUAGAUACCCGGGUAGUCCUAGCCGUAAACGAUGCUCGCUAGGUGUCAGUCACGGUGCGACCGUGAUUGGUGCCGUAGGGAAGCCGUGAAGCGAGCCACCUGGGAAGUAUGGCCGCAAAGGCUAGAAAACUUAAAGGAAUUGGGACGGGGGAGCGAACUACGAACGGGUGGAGCCUGCGGUUU
rnacentral:rRNA from 1 species